GGGGAUAUAGCUCAGCUGGGAGAGCGCCUGCCUUGCACGCAGGAGGUCAGCGGUUCGNUCCCGCUUNUCUCCACCA
rnacentral:tRNA from 1 species